GGUGCUGCAUGGUUGUCGUCAGCUCGUGCCGUGAGGUGUCGGCUUAAGUGCCAUAACGAGCGCAACCCUUGUUGUCAGUUACUAACAGGUUCCGCUGAGGACUCUGACAAGACUGCCAUCGUAAGAUGUGAGGAAGGUGGGGAUGACGUCAAAUCAGCACGGCCCUUACGUCCGGGGCUACACACGUGUUACAAUGGGGGGUACAGAGGGCCGCUACCACGCGAGUGGAUGCCAAUCCCCAAAACCUCUCUCAGUUCGGACUGGAGUCUGCAACCCGACUCCACGAAGCUGGAUUCGCUAGUAAUCGCGCAUCAGCCACGGCGCGGUGAAUACGUUCCCGGGCCUUGUACACACCGCCCGUCAAGCCAUGGGAGCCGGGGGUACCUGAAGUGCGUAACCGCGAGGAGCGCCCUAGGGUAAAACUGGUGACUGGGGCUAAGUCGUAACAAGGUAGCCGUACCGGAAGGUGCGGCUGGAUCACCUC
rnacentral:rRNA from 1 species